rnacentral:lncRNA from 1 species
AUUCAGGGUUUUAGGGUUUAGGGUUUUAGGGUUUAGGGCAUAGGGUCUAGGGCAUAGGGUUUAGGGUUUAGGGUUUUAGGGUUUAGGGUUUUAGGGUUUAGGGUUUUAGGGUUUAGGGUUUAGGGUUUAGGGCAUAGGGUAUAGGGUAUAGGGUAUAGGGUAUAGGGUAUAGGGUAUAGGGUAUAGGGUAUAGGUUUUAGGGUAUAGGGUAUAGGGUAUAGGGUNUA